rnacentral:misc_RNA from 1 species
AACGCACAUUGCGCCCUCUGGUAUUCCGGGGGGCAUGCCUGUUCGAGCGUCAUUAUAACCACUCAAGCCCUCGCUUGGUAUUGGGGUUCGCGGUUUCGCGGCUCCUAAAAUCAGUGGCGGUGCCUAUCGGCUCUACGCGUAGUAAUACUCCUCGCGAUUGAGUCCGGUAGGUCUACUUGCCAGCAACCCCUAAUUUUUUUAAGGUUGACCUCGGAUCAGGUAGGGAUACCCGCUGAACUUAA